CCCUUAGAUGUUCUGGGCCGCACGCGCGUUACACUGAUGCAUUCAACGAGCCUAUCCUUGACCGACAGGUCCGGGUAAUCUUUGAAUCUGCAUCGUGACGGGGAUAGAUUAUUGCAAUUAUUAAUCUUCAACGAGGAAUGCCUAGUAGGCGCAAGUCAUCAGCUUGCGUCGAUUACGUCCCUGCCCUUUGUACACACCGCCCGUCGCUCCUACCGAUUGGGUGUGCUGGUGAAAUGUUCGGAUCGGCCGUUUGUCGCGGUUUCCGCGUCAUGUGGCUGAGAAGUUCAUUAAACCCUCCCACCUAGAGGAAGGAGAAGUCGUAACA
rnacentral:rRNA from 1 species